rnacentral:rRNA from 1 species
GAUGAACGCUGGCGGCGUGCCUAAUACAUGCAAGUCGAGCGAACGGGCGAGAAGCUUGCUUCUCUGAUGUUAGCGGCGGACGGGUGAGUAACACGUGGAUAACCUACCUAUAAGACUGGGAUAACUUCGGGAAACCGGAGCUAAUACCGGAUGAUAUUUUGAACCGCAUGGUUCAAAAGUGAAAGACAGUCUUGCUGUCACUUAUAGAUGGAUCCGCGCUGCAUUAGCUAGUUGGUAAGGUAACGGCUUACCAAGGCAACGAUGCAUAGCCGACCUGAGAGGGUGAUCGGCCACACUGGAACUGAGACACGGUCCAGACUCCUACGGGAGGCAGCAGUAGGGAAUCUUCCGCAAUGGGCGAAAGCCUGACGGAGCAACGCCGCGUGAGUGAUGAAGGUCUUCGGAUCGUAAAACUCUGUUAUUAGGGAAGAACAUAUGUGUAAGUAACUGUGCACAUCUUGACGGUACCUAAUCAGAAAGCCACGGCUAACUACGUG